rnacentral:rRNA from 1 species
GUAAUAGCUCACUUGUCGAGUCGGCCUGCACGUAAGAUUUAACGGCGCUAAGCUAUGCACUGAAGUUGCGGAAUAUAUUUAGUAUAUUGGUAGGGGAGCGUUCUGUAAGACGAUGAAGGUGAAUUGAGAAGUUUGCUGGAGGUAUCAGAAGUGCGAAUGCUGACAUGAGUAACGUAAAAUAAGUGAUAUUCUUAUUGGCCGAAAACCCAAGGGUUCAUACGCAAUGUUAAUCAACGUAGGGUA